GGACUACAGGGGUAUCUAAUUCCGUUCGCUCCCCUAGCUUUCGCGCCUCAGCGUCAGGUGCCGCCCAGCAAGCCGCCUUCGCCUCGGGUGUUCCUCCCGAUCUCUACGCAUUUCACCACUACUUCGGGACUUCCGCUUGCCUCUGCGACCCUCCAGCCCGGUCAUCUCCACAGGCCUCCCUCGGUUGAGCCGAGGGCUUUCACUAUGGAUGCGCCGGGCCGCCUACGCGCGCUUUACGCCCAGUAAUUCCGGACAACGCUCGCCCCCUACGUAUUACCGCGGCUGCUGGCAC
rnacentral:rRNA from 1 species